rnacentral:lncRNA from 1 species
GUGGAUGUUCUGCAUCUUUCUGACACAUGUAUUUUUGCUUCAUCUUCUCAUGAGAAUUGAAUUUCUCAAUCCUGGAUAUAAAAAAUUUAGUAAUAAUGUAAACAGAAGGAAGGCACACUAGGGAAAAGAGACUGGAAAGAUAAAGAAAACUAUGUUCUAUUUUGUAUGGGGGGAAAAAGUUAGAAUAUUAAAAUGAUACAGAUUGUGUUUUCGAAUAGUUGCAAACACAUAAUGUCUUAGCUCUAUUUCUGUGACAAAAUACCUGAGAAAAACAGCCUAAAGGAGAAAAUAUUUAUUCUGGCUCAUGGUUUCAGAGGUUUCAGUCCAUAGUUUAUUGGCUCCAUGUUUAGGCCUAUGUGAGGUAGAGUGUGGUGGUAGGGAGGGUAUGGACUCACCUCAUAGCAGCUAGCAAGUGAAGAGAAAGAAAGAAAGAGUGAGAAAGAAAGAAACAGACGGAGAUGGUGGGCAGGGACAUGGUAUGAUUAACCCCUCAAGCACAAGUUCCCAAUGACCUAUCCACUUCCUCCAACUAGACUCUGCCUCCUAAUGUUUCCACCACCUCCCAAUAGAUCAUUCAGCUAUGAAUCCACCAAUGGAAACGUGGAUGUGUAACCGAUGUGAUUCUGCAAUCUGUAUUUGGGGUAAAAAUGGGAGUUCAUAACCCACUUGAAUCAAAUGUAUGACAUAUGAUAUGUCAAGAGCUUUGUAAUGUUUUGAACAACCAAUAAAAAAAAC